UACGAAGGGGACUAGCGUUGUUCGGAAUCACUGGGCGUAAAGCGCACGUAGGCGGAUGUGUCAGUCAGGGGUGAAAUCCCGGGGCUCAACCUCGGAACUGCCUUUGAUACAGCACGUCUCGAGUCCGGAAGAGGUGGGUGGAAUUCCUAGUGUAGGAGGUGAAAUUCGUAGAUAUUAGGAAGAACACCGGUGGCGAAGGCGGCCCACUGGUCCGGUACUGACGGCUGAGGU
rnacentral:rRNA from 1 species